AAUGAAUUGCUGUAAAAAUUACAGCAAUAUUUUACAGCCGAUGGCUGUAUUUUAAUAAUACAGCAUAUUGCUGUAAAUUGCAAUGAAUUCCGGGGGCGUGGCGGUUUGAAUCAAAUUUACAGAAUAUUGCUGUAAAUUUCAAAUAUACAGAGGCAUUGUGGGAUCUCCAACGGUCAAGAUUCGAGUAGCAGCAAGAGGAGUGAUUUACAACUGUGGUAUUUAUCUGGAGAGAGGAACAAAGACGAAAGGAAAAGUGCCAUCUAAAACAACAGGCAGACAGUUCAGAAGAAACGGGUUGCGUUCAACCUACAUGUGGCCACUCUUCUGUGCAAAGUGAUGGAUUUUCAGUGGAAUUUCUGAAAUGAAUGGGCACAGGUGGCAGGUGCCCUUGGUUUGGAACUUCUACACCACCAGAUCCUCGCUAUGUUCUUCUGUUUUGUGGUCAUGGAUGCGAUCGUCUGCGUUUGAAUGUUUCUUCUUUUUUUUUAUAUAUAUUCCCCUAGAUAUUUAUAAUAAAAUAUUUUUGCAAUGUAUUUCUUUUGUGAUC